AUAAAAUAAAAUAAAAUAAAAAGAUGCUCUUCUCCCACUCUACACUCCCCAAUGCGACUUCUUUUCACUCCCUUUCUUACUCUCGUCAAAGGUCCUCCACUUCCUCGCGUCUCCUCUCAGCCACAACCUUAACCAACGGUUCCACUGCCAGGUUCAAAAUGUCGUCGGAUUCGCUUCCUCCUCUUCCGGAAUCCCGCAUCGUUCUAGGAUGUGGAGGAAUAUCGGUGGAUUUCUUGGCCGCUGUCGCUGCUUAUCCUAAGCCUGAUGAUAAGAUCAGAAGUACAAGCUUAAAGGUUCAAGGAGGUGGAAAUGCUGGGAAUUCUAUGACUUGCGCCGCUCGUUUGGGCUUAAAUCCUAGGAUAAUUUCCAAGAUUGCUGAUGACUCUCAAGGCAGGAGUAUUUUGGAGGAACUAGAAGCUGACGGUGUGGAUACUGCCUUUAUUGUGGUUUCCAAGGAUGGUAAUUCGCCGUUUACCUAUGUCAUUGUUGACAACCAAACGUAAGGGCCCUUACUUGAAUAAUUUGCUCUGUCUCACUCUCUAUGCUAGUGGUGCCUAUUUUUUCUUGAUGUCGUUAAUUUGUAUAAAUGUAUUGGGUAAAAAUCCAGAAAGUUUUACAUAAUUAUCAUGUCUAAGGUUUGCACUUAAGUAAGUUACUUGUCCAUUUGACAGUCCUUCGGAUAAAAGGAAAGGAGGAAAAGUAAUUGUUGGAUAUUUAGUUUCAUUUGUGGUUAAAAGGUUGAAGUCUUCUGUAUAUUGUUUUCAGCAAUUAGAUGAGGAUCUAAACCCUGUUAUUUUACAGCUUAGGACAGAAAAUAUUGCUUUCCUAUCUAAAAUGAAUGGUGAAAAUUCUGGAAGGUUAGAUUGCAUUAGUAUCCCGGAUUUUCAUAAUCAACAGAAUCAUAUUGAGGGAGUGAAAUUGGGGGUGGUUACACAGAAGACGUUAUCUUGUUAAUACUCAUUGUCGUUUUACUUUUAGAUUCCUAUGAUGUUUCCCUAGUGACUGAGCACAAUCUCAUUUAUGAUAAAUUGGUCUCGAGUUCAGAGGUGUGUUUGGUUGCUAUAUGACACUUAAUUUUUGCUUGCUGCCAACUUUUUUUGGCUGCUCAUCCCGUUAGAGUUUCAGUGAUGCACUGAGAGUUGGACUCUUGUUUUGUUGCAUGUCCCAGUGUUACUGUUCCAGAGCAGGCAUUAAGAAUGUUGGCUGGCUGAAAAGAGUGGUCCCCUUGUCUGUAUUUUGACAUUGAUAAUGCAUUAGGAUUUAAUCAAUUUAUGAAUCAUAUAGGAAGGUAUGCUUGACUUUUGAAUGAAUGGUUUAAAAGAUAACUUUGGAAGUUGGUUCGCUAGUAAUGAUUAUUGUGUGUGAUAUCUUCAGGAAAACUCGUACUUGUAUUCAUACUCCAGGAUAUCCUCCCAUGAUACUGGAUGAUCUGUCCCAAUCAAGCCUAUUAUCUGCAUUGGAUGGAGUAAGAAUUGUCUAUUCUGAUGGAAGAUUGCCUGAAAUUGCUUUAGUUGUUGCACAAGAGGCGUAUCGCCAAAAUAUACCUAUUUUAAUUGAUGCAGAAAGGAAAAGGGAAGGUUUGGAUGAUCUUCUGAAAUUGGCUAGCUAUGUUGUAUGCUCUGCAAAAUUUCCACAGGCGUGGACUGAGGCACCAUCUAUUCCAAGUGCACUUGUUUCUAUGCUUUUGAGGUUGCCAAACAUUAAAUUCGUGAUUGUGACCUUGGGUGAAGAUGGAUGCAUAAUGCUUGAGAGAAGUACUAAUGGUGAGUCUAUAAUUCACUAAAUGCUGAGGAGGAGGAUCAUAAAAUUCAUGUUAUUUUCCUUUUUUCGGUUAGAAGCUCCUGUAUCAGAGGAAACAGAUGUUGAUAGUUUGUUAGAGACACUGAAGAAGAGAAAGGAUGAUGCAAUUGCCAUCCCAAAAUGUUUCUCAUCGUCAUUGACAAAGCUAAGAGCAAAUGGGAUAGGAACAGUUAAUGGGAGGUUGUUCGUGGGAACAGUGGAGAAGAUUCCUCCACCAGAACUUGUUGAUACAACCGGUGCUGGAGAUGCCUUUAUUGGAGCAGUUCUUUAUGCUAUCUGUGCCAACAUGCCACCAGAGAAAAUGUUGCCGUUUGCUGCUCAAGUGGCAGCUGCUAGCUGCAGAGCCUUGGGAGCUCGAACUGGUCUUCCACACCGCUCAGACUCCCGCUUGGCACCAUUUCUGCUUUAAAAGAGUUCCCUAAUCGUAAUGGUUUGUCUUUUUUUUCAAAUCAUUGGAGAUCUUUAAACUAUAAUUUUUGUCCAUAAGUAAUGAACAUGUUUCUUUCAUAA
rnacentral:misc_RNA from 1 species